UCAUACAAGAAACCCAAAUCAAUAGCCAUCCGGCGUAAAGAGUGGUCACAUGCUAUCUGCAUUAGCUAAGAUCAAAGUGGAACUAAGCCGUCAUAAGCCCAAGAUCCACCUAAACCCAACCCAAAACCAUCUUAACUCUUACGAUUAAUUUUAACCCACGAAAGCUAGGACCCAAACUGGGAUUAGAUACCCCACUAUGCCUAGCCCUAAAUCUAGAUACUCCGCACACCCACGUAUCCGCCUGAGAACUACGAGCACAAACGCUUAAAACUCUAAGGACUUGGCGGUGCCUCAAACCCACCUAGAGGAGCCUGUUCUAUAAUCGAUAAUCCACGAUCCACCCAACCACCCCUUGCCUACACAGCCUACAUACCGCCGUCGUCAGCCCACCUUUAAUGAAAGAACAACAGUGGGCCCAAUAGCCUCUCGCUAACAAGACAGGUCAAGGUAUAGCCCAUGGGGUGGAAGAAAUGGGCUACAUUUUCUAGAAUAGAAUAAACGAAAAAGGAUGUGAAACCCACCCUUGGAAGGAGGAUUUAGCAGUAAAGCAAGAUCAUCCCUCAAGCUUGCUUUAAGACGGCUCUGAGGCACGUACAUACCGCCCGUCACCCUCUUCACAGGCCACCCAUACCGAUACAUAAUAUCCGUCCCCGGCUAAAGACGAGGUAAGUCGUAACAA
rnacentral:rRNA from 1 species